AAAAAAAAAACCGCAAAGUUUAUGCCUAGAGAGAAAUUAGAAUUCUUUCAUACUUUUUAUAGGACCAAAUUUCCUUGAGUCUAUGGCAUUGUUUUACCUUUGCCAUACAACUAUUAUUUAUGGGGUUAGUAAAUUAAAAGUGCUGACAUUUCUGUUUACGAUUUGAGGUUUUUUUUUUUUUAAAUUGAUAUUUGUCCCCAUGAAGGCCAAUAGUCCAUCAAAAUUACCAAAAGAAAUUUGAAGAAGAUGAGUUCAUAGUAUUUGUUUUGGUUUAAAGAGUAUUGUUGCCACAGAUGAAUAACAUUUUGAUGUAUUAAGAAAGGGAUCAACAGUUAAAUAAGCCACCAAUUUCACUGAGUAGGAAAGUAUUUAAAUCCUCCACCUAUCUAUGUGAUACUUUUUGCUUAAAUUUUCGAUUUAUGUGUGUAAUUCUAGAGAAGAUAAGACUUCAUUAUACUGAGUGCAACAAGAAUAUUGGAAGAAAAAAUGUUAUCUGCUGUGACCUUGAGAGGUUAGGCUUUUGUAAUAUAACAAAUACAUUGUCUAGACUGCAGAGGUACGACUCAGGCUUUUGAAUGAACAUGGUUUCAAAUGAUUUGUCUGUAUUGGGUCAGUCAUUUCAAUCAGGAAUCACCAACUCUAUAUAUUCAGAAGAUUAGCUGCCUGUAACAUGUCACAUUUUUCUUUUUUUUUUCCUUUUGAUUUUUAUUGUUUCAUAGGUAGGUUAACCUUUGACCAUCAUUGGCUUUUAAAAAUUAUACUUUACAGUUUUGAUCUAUUUUUACCAGAUAGUAACUGUAGUACUGUGGUGGUAAAAUCAUAUAGAUACAUGUGUUGGGGAGUAUGUAUAAAAUUUUGAUGUGAAAAGUACCAUAGCUUCACUCAUUGUUUUGAAGGGAAAUUUUCUAAGAGCCAUCUGUUUGAAUAUGAUCCUGAUAUAUCCCAAAGAGGUUAUGAAUUGAGUAAUUAAUCUAGUUUUCAUUAUUCAUUCCUUUGUUUGUUCAUCCAUUAAGUGAGCAUUAUUUGACUAACAAAGCACUACUAAGGGGCGAUCACAAAUAUAAGAAAUGGAGCCCAGGACGUAUGCUUCUGGCGGUAUGACAGAAAAGAUGCUUAGAAAGACCCUCCCACUACAGAAUAAAAAUCUUAGGUCAAUUGCAACAAAGAUUUUACUAAGUUCCUCAAAUUUUAUGAAAGGAAUUCUCCGAUGAGCUGGACACACUCAUGACAACAAUAAUUAGCUAAAACAAAACAAAACAAAAGUUAAGUUUAGAAACCCAGUUUACUUUGGAGCAUUCAUGCUUGUAAGUGCUGACUGAAAUUGGAAACUAACAAGGGGGGCAGUUGGUUGUCUCACUAAAAUGCUGGAAGUGAAACUGAGACUCUUGUAUUUGAUUCAGACCCUGAAGGAAGGCUAAAGGGAUCUCACAUCAGCAGCAAACUCUGGCUGUCAGCAUGAGCAGUUCAAAUCCUAUCUAGAGGAAAUCUUCAUUUUUGGCUCUUAGGAAUCAUACACAUUAAAUUCAACUAAAUGUGAGCCUAUAACAAAAAUCAAAGUAAUAAACAUAUGAGAUAUAAACCGCUACCAAGUGAGCAUCUGCAGAAAUAAUAAACAUAUCUAGAUUUCCAAGGACUUAAACUAAAAAUAUUAAAUAUAGAAUAUAAAAUAGUAUAUAUGAAAUGGUUAAAGAAAUAACAGCUGACACAAAAAUAAGCAUGGAAUGAGAAAUUACUGUAAAUAAUUAGAUAUGGAAAAGAUUUAAAUAGAACUCUCAGAAAUCAUCAUCACUGAAAUUAAAAACUCUAUUGAUCACUACACACCUAUUAGAACAGCAGAAAUUUAAAAAAUAGUGAUGAUACUAAAUGCUUACAAGGAUGGAGAGGCACUGUGUUUCUCAUACAUUUCUGGUGAGAGUUUAAAAUGAUACAGGGGCUCUGGAAAAUUGUUCAUCAUCUUAUGAAAUUAAAUAUGCAAUUGUCAUUUGACCCAGAAAUCACAUUCUUGGACAUUUAUCCCAGAGAAAUGGAAACUUAUGUUCACACAAAUAACUGCAUACAAAUGUUCAGAGAAGUUUCACUGGAAACAACCCAAGUACUUCAGUAGGUGAGUGGUAGAAUGGGUUUUAGUACAUGCACACAAAGAAACUGUCCAACAGGUGUUCUAAAAGAUACUAUGGAAGGAGAAAAAUGAUUCAGUAAAGACACCAGAGUUAAAGAAAGCGAAUAGAGAAAUUGGUAAGUACGUAAGUAAAUAUAACAUGCAUUAUAAGCCAAAAGGGGCUGAUCGAUCAGUGUUAAAGUGUUUUUAAAGUACUUACAUCACUUGGAGUCAGAGCAGUUAACAUAUUGAUUGACUUUAGACGUUAAAAAGUCCGUAUGAUAAACCCUCAGGAUUAUGCACUGUCUUGAUCUGCUUGGUACCAUAACAAAAUACCACAAACUACAUUCUUUAAACAACAGACGUUUGUUUUCUCACAGUCCUGGAGGCUACACAUCCAUGAUCAGCAUGCCAACAUGGUAAUUUUCUGACAAAGGGUUGCUUUCUGGCUUACAGAUAACUGCCUUAUUGCUGUGUCCUCACAUGGUGGAGAGAGAAAGAGUAAGCUCUCCAAUGUGUCUUUUUAUAAUGACACUAGUUCCAUCAUGAAGGAUUAAAAAAAAAAAAAACUUCCAUGGAUGAGAUAAAAACAACUAAAAUAAUUUUGUAAACUGAAAAACUAAAAGACUGGAAGAAAAUAAACAAAAAAGAAGAUAAAGAAUAUGAAAGUAAUGUUAAAAGACUUGGAUGAUGGAUGAAUUGGUCUAACAUAAGUCUAACUGGUGGCCCAGACAAGUGACACCCUUAUGACUUUAUGACCUCAUCUAACCCUGCUUCCCAAAAGCCCCAUCUCCAAAUACAAUCACAUUGGAGGUUAGGACUUCAACAUAUGAUUUAUGGAGGGAACAUAAAAAUUCAGUCCAUAACACCUGCUAAAAGAAUAGAAUAAGGAGAGAAAAUGAUUCACAUCAUAAGGAUGAAUCAGGAAAUACAAAACACUGAAAAAAUACAAAAUAAAGAAGUAUCAAUAGCACAGUGUUUCUUUAAUCUUUAAGUUGUCCUUGGGAAGCAUUUUUAAUCAUCAAAGUAUUGCUUAUGUGAGUGACAGAAAACAAAUUGAGAAAGUAGUAACAUCACUUUAGGGUAAAGCGAAAAGAUAGCUUGGAGACUAGAGCCUGUAGAAUGGGUUGAAUUUGAAUAGGAUGGGCAUUAUAUGAACUGUCCAGAGCUGAUUCUUGGCAUCUGAUGAACUGGCCUGCAUUAGUCUUCUCUUACUGCCAUAUAAAAUCACCACAAACUUGGCAGCUUAAGCAACACGAAUCUAUUAUCUUGUAGUUUCAGAGAUCAGAAGUCACUGGGCUAAAAUCAAGCUAUCAGUAGGGCUGUGUUAUAUUCUAAAGGCUCAAGGGGAAGAAUUCAUGUCCUGCUUUUUAGUGUUGACAAUUCAGUUCCUUGCAGCUUUUUGGGCCCAUGUUCCAUUAUCCUGCUGGCUAUAAAGUGAGAACCACUCCUGCCUUCCAGGAGCCGCUGCACUGUUGGGCUCUUGGCCUUUUCUUCCAACAACAAAGGCAGAUGUUUGAGUCCUUUCAAAUCAUGUUUCUCUGACAGGACCAGGAAAGCUUCUGUAAUUGUAACACUUCAUGUUAUUAGACUAGACCCAUCUGGAUAAUCUGGGAUACUUUCCCUAUCUGAAGAUUCCUCACCUUAAUCACAUCUACAAAGACUCUUUUCCAACAUAACAUAUUUUUGAGGACUUAGUAUGCAGACCUCCUUGGGAGCUACUCUUCCAUCUACCACAGAAAGAUCUGGAAGAAACAGGAGGUCUAAUUUAAAGGGCAUAGGAUAAUGAAGAACUCCAAAAAAGGCAAGAUCGUGAUACAUUUUGGUAUUUGAAAAAAAGUUCACUGUAUUUGAAUCAGAUCAUUGGUAUUAAGAAUUUCAUUUUUUUCAUAAGGGUAACAGGAAGUCUCUGACAUACUUGAAUGCAUCAAGAGCAAGACCAAAUCAGAGUCCCAUGUUAUAGCUCUUUGCUCGUCACCUAGAGAAUGGAUUGAGAGGGAGAAAUCCAAAGGACAGAAUUAAGAAAUCUGAUUUUUGAAGACUUAGAGUAAAUUAAACUAGAGAGAGGACCAUAUGAAGAGGGAAAAAGUGUAACAGAAUAAAAUUCAGGAGUCUGAAUCUGAAAACUUGGGUUGCAUUAGUGCUUGUUUUGCAGUGAGGUGCUGCUUGUUACAUACUCAGGAAUUCUGUGAGCUUAUUUUUAAACUGUUGACAAUUUGAAAGCAACUCUGUUAGGAGAAUUUACACCAGGAAAUUUUCUAACACUCUGUCAAUUUGGCAUUCUCUCUCUCUCUCUCUCCUCCCUCCCUCCCUCCCUCCCUCCCUCCCUCCCUCCCUCCCAGAGACAGAUUCUUAGCAUGCCAAUAAUAGAGUGAUAUUGAAAAAAAGCCUUAUCUAUUAAGCAGGAAAACUAAUAUUGGAUCAAGAUGCAAAUAAGAUGGUGUGCAUGAGGAAGCAAGAUCAACAGAAUUGCUAAACUGUUUUGAUGCUUUGGCAGUCAGAGAAAAGUAGUAUUACUGUUAGGAUCCUAUGAACAGAACUUGGGUAAAAUUUUAAGUCACGGAUAAUUUUCAGUAGCUCACCCAUGUUCUUAUUACUAGACUGUGAUCCAUUUGGAUAAUUACAAACAGAAAUAUAAAUGCCCAUGUAAAAGAAUGUGGUUCCUCACAUGGAAACAUAUACAUAUGUAUACAUGAGCACACACACACAGAGUUAAGGCAACUCGCAAACUUCUCUUGAUCUUCCAACUUUCUAUUGACUUAAAAGACUAGAAAAGAGAGACACAUUAAAAUUAAA
rnacentral:lncRNA from 1 species